GGGAUAGCCCAGGGAAACCUGGAUUAAUACCGGAUGAGACGGGACCCGCGGAUGGCGGGAUCCGGGAAAGGCGCUGCGGCGCCGCCGGGGGGAUGAGUCUGCGUCCCAUUAGGCUAGACGGCGGGGUAACGGCCCACCGUGGCGACGAUGGGUAGCCGGCCUGAGAGGGUGGACGGCCACGAUUGGAACUGAGACACGGUCCAGACUCCUACGGGAGGCAGCAGCUAAGAAUCGUUCCGCAAUGGGCGAAAGCCUGACGGAGCGAACCGCCGCGUGAACGAAGAAGGCCGUGAGGUUUGUAAAGUUCUUUUCGGGAAGGGGGAACAACCGUGGCAGGGAAUGGCCGCGGGAUGACGUGAAUCCCGGAAUAAGCCCCGGCUAACUACGUGCCAGCCGCCGC
rnacentral:rRNA from 1 species